AUGAAGUCUUUUUCUCCUGUUGUAAAGCAUAGCUCUAUUUGCACUUUACUCAGUAUUGUUGCCAUGCAUAAUUUUGAGCUUGAACAAUUAGAUGUUAAAACUGCAUUUUUACAUGGAGAAUUAGAAGGGGAUAUCGAAAUGGAACAACCUGAAGAUUUUGUUAUUCCUGGAAAAGAAAAGCUUGUCUGUAAGUUAAUAAAAUCUCUUUAUGGACUGAAGCAAUCUCUUAGACUGUGGUAUAAUAGAUUUCACACUUUUAUGCUCUCCCAAGGUUUCAAAAGGUCUAAUUAUGAUAACUGUAUAUAUUUGAAAACUGUCAAUGGUUCAGCUAUUUAUUUGCUCAUUUACAUUGAUGAUAUGUUAAUUGCUUCAAAGAGUAUGCCGGAGAUUAAUGAAUUAAACAAGCAAUUCAGUAACGAAUUUGAGAUGAAGGAUACAAGUACAACAAAGAAAAUACUUGGCAUGGAAAUAUCCAGAGAUAGACUAUCAAGAAAAGUGUAUCUAAGUCAGAAGGGAUAUAUUGAUAAAGUUCUUCAUCGUUUUAAUAUGCAUAAUGCCAAGUCAGUAACGAGUCAGAUGCAGAUAUUGAGUACAUAUUUAGAGUUUUCUAUUCGAGUGCAGUUGGUUCAUUUAUGUAUGCAAUGGUUUGUUCUUGUCCAGAUUUUUCAUAUGCAUUGA
rnacentral:rRNA from 1 species